rnacentral:rRNA from 1 species
GAUUGAACGCUGGCGGCAUGCUUUACACAUGCAAGUCGAACGGCAGCGCGGGCUUCGGCCUGGCGGCGAGUGGCGAACGGGUGAGUAAUACAUCGGAACGUGCCCAGUAGUGGGGGAUAGCUCGGCGAAAGCCGGAUUAAUACCGCAUACGACCUGAGGGUGAAAGCGGGGGAUCUUCGGACCUCGCGCUAUUGGAGCGGCCGAUGGCAGAUUAGCUAGUUGGUGGGGUAAAGGCCUACCAAGGCGACGAUCUGUAGCUGGUCUGAGAGGACGACCAGCCACACUGGAACUGAGACACGGCCCAGACACCUACGGGAGGCAGCAGUGGGGAAUUUUGGACAAUGGGCGAAAGCCUGAUCCAGCAAUGCCGCGUGUGUGAUGAAGGCCUUCGGGUUGUAAAGCACUUUUGGCGGGAACGAAAAGGACUGUGCCAAUACCACGGUUCGAUGACGGUACCCGCAGAAUAAGCACCGGCUAACUACGUG